GACGAACGCUGGCGGCGUGCCUAAUACAUGCAAGUAGAACGCUGAGGGAGGAGCUUGCUUCUCUGGAUGAGUUGCGAACGGGUGAGUAACGCGUAGGUAACCUGCCUGGUAGCGGGGGAUAACUAUUGGAAACGAUAGCUAAUACCGCAUAAUAGCAGUUGUUGCAUGACAACUGUUUGAAAGGUGCAAUUGCACCACUACCAGAUGGACCUGCGUUGUAUUAGCUAGUUGGUGGGGUAACGGCUCACCAAGGCGACGAUACAUAGCCGACCUGAGAGGGUGAUCGGCCACACUGGGACUGAGACACGGCCCAGACUCCUACGGGAGGCAGCAGUAGGGAAUCUUCGGCAAUGGACGGAAGUCUGACCGAGCAACGCCGCGUGAGUGAAGAAGGGUGUCGGAUCGUAAAGCUCUGUUGUAAGAGAAGAACGAGUGUGAGAGUGGAAAGUUCACACUGUGACGGUAUCUUACCAGAAAGGGACGGCUAACUACGUG
rnacentral:rRNA from 1 species